GCAUUGGUGGUUCAGUGGUAGAAUUCUCGCCUGCCACGUGGGAGACCUGUGUCCGAUUCCCGGCCAUCGCA
rnacentral:tRNA from 1 species